rnacentral:rRNA from 1 species
UACGGAGGGGGCUAGCGUUGUUCGGAAUUACUGGGCGUAAAGCGCACAUAGGCGGCUUUGUAAGUUAGAGGUGAAAGCCCGGGGCUCAACUCCGGAAUUGCCUUUAAGACUGCAUCGCUAGAAUUGUGGAGAGGUGAGUGGAAUUCCCAGUGUAGAGGUGAAAUUCGUAGAUAUUGGGAAGAACACCGGUGGCGAAGGCGGCUCACUGGCUCGUAACUGACGCUCAUGCACGACAGCGUGGGGAUCAAACAGG